UUGCUAUGGCAGCAUACAUACUAAGACUGGGAUACAGAGCCAAUUAGCCUGGCUCCUGAGCAGGGGUGACGCACAAACUCGCCAAGUCCUUCAUAUUUUU
rnacentral:snRNA from 1 species